CUUUCUUCUGAUGAGUGAACAGCCUCACCGGAACUUCCCCAUCCUCCUGGCUUGGUUCCUGAAGUGGCCCAAGGCUGCCUUCUCCCUCCCGUGGGUGAACAGGGUCACUGCUUCCUCUCUUGUCCAGGCCCCCUGGCCUGACCCUGAGUCCCGGGCGUAACGGCGUUGUUGAACCACCACAACCCCAGGCGGCGCCUUCCUCUUGGCCCAGGGGCUCUCUUGGGGACAGUGUGCAGUACUCCCCAAGGGGGCUUUGCUGUGCAAAAGCAGCCCCUGCCGAUGCUGCGGCUCCCGUGGAUGGAGCACUGCCGUGGGAACAGAGUUGGAACUCAUCCAAAAGAAUAAAAGACAACUGUGUUGGAAGAUUGCCAAGGUUUGUAGCUGUGCCACCGCAGACUUCAGAGAUGAACACUGCCUUGGAGACGAGGAGGAUUCAAGUUGCAGAAGCAUUUAGAAACCUCAAACUUGAGACACGGUGGGAAAUCAGGAAGACAUGAGGCUUUGCUCAACACUGGAGAACACCAGUUCUUUUCAGUUUGUAUGCAUCUUUAUCAGGGUCUAUGCGAUUCUGAGGCAAGAGGCAUGAAACAACUCUGAGGAAGCAGGUCGGAGAGCAGCUGACCUGGUGAUCAAGGUAUUGAACUUUGUUCUCUGAGUUUCUUUCUCCACAGGAGGGGCAGCCUGCUAAAAGCAGGGGCAGCAAGACGACAUCUCCAGCUGAGAGACACAUGUACCACUUAGAGAUGAGAAAGAUGCACCAGGGUUCCUGGUGUGUGGAAGGUGACUGAGACCCUCCAUGAAUGAGGGCACUUACUGAAUUUUGUGGACAGAACUUUUUCUUCUGUGUUUGCAGGUAGAUGUUUUUAAUGGGUUUCCUGCUUUAGGACUUUUUGAACAGCCAUGGAAGGGGCCAGGGAGAGGGAAGGAAUCUCUAGUCCUGAGCAUUGCCGAGUCCUUCAUCCAUCCUCAGUCCCACCUUUGGAUUCCUUGUGGUACAAUGAUUUCUCCAGAGACAGGCACUUUCCUUGA
rnacentral:lncRNA from 1 species